UGCAGUCAGGACACUAUAGUGGAAACACUUUUACCCUUUCCGAACAAAACAGUUAAGCACUAUAGGCUCAUUUGGGCUAAACGGCCAACUUGAGUUGACUGCAC
ensembl:rRNA 5S_rRNA 5S ribosomal RNA